rfam:Myotis lucifugus cont2.21693, whole genome shotgun sequence.
GGCGGUUCUCAGGUGACGCACCCUGGAAUUGGGCUCCUUUCUCUCUGGUUCCAGGUGCGUCACCCGAGAACUGCA